rnacentral:rRNA from 1 species
GAUGAACGCUGGCUACAGGCUUAACACAUGCAAGUCGAGGGGAAACGACGGGGAAGCUUGCUUCCCCGGGCGUCGACCGGCGCACGGGUGAGUAACGCGUAUCCAACCUGCCUCUGACUGAGGGAUAACCCGUCGAAAGUCGGCCUAAUACCUCAUGGCAUCGUCUGCGGGCAUCCAACGACGAUUAAAGAUUUCAUCGGUCGGGGAUGGGGAUGCGUCUGAUUAGCUUGUUGGCGGGGUAACGGCCCACCAAGGCGACGAUCAGUAGGGGUUCUGAGAGGAAGGUCCCCCACAUUGGAACUGAGACACGGUCCAAACUCCUACGGGAGGCAGCAGUGAGGAAUAUUGGUCAAUGGGCGAGAGCCUGAACCAGCCAAGUAGCGUGCAGGAUGACGGCCCUAUGGGUUGUAAACUGCUUUUAUGCGGGGAUAAAGUGAGGGACGUGUCCUUCAGUGCAGUACCGCAUG